AUUGAACGCUGGCGGCAGGCCUAACACAUGCAAGUCGAGCGGAUGAAGGGAGCUUGCUCCUGGAUUCAGCGGCGGACGGGUGAGUAAUGCCUAGGAAUCUGCCUGGUAGUGGGGGAUAACGUCCGGAAACGGGCGCUAAUACCGCAUACGUCCUGAGGGAGAAAGUGGGGGAUCUUCGGACCUCACGCUAUCAGAUGAGCCUAGGUCGGAUUAGCUAGUUGGUGGGGUAAAGGCCUACCAAGGCGACGAUCCGUAACUGGUCUGAGAGGAUGAUCAGUCACACUGGACCUGGGACCCGGUCCAGACUCCUACGGGGGGCAGCAGUGGGGAAUAUUGGACAAUGGGCGAAAGCCUGAGCCAGCCAUGCCGCGUGUGUGAAGAAGGUCUUCGGAUUGUAAAGCACUUUAAGUUGGGAGGAAGAGCAGUAAGUUAAGACCUUGCUGUUUGGACGUUACCAACAGAAUAAGCACCGGCGAACUUCGG
rnacentral:rRNA from 1 species